UACGUAGGGUGCGAGCGUUGUCCGGAAUUAUUGGGCGUAAAGAGCUCGUAGGCGGUUUGUCACGUCUGCUGUGAAAUCCCGAGGCUCAACCUCGGGCCUGCAGUGGGUACGGGCAGACUGGAGUGCGGUAGGGGAGAAUGGAAUUCCUGGUGUAGCGGUGGAAUGCGCAGAUAUCAGGAGGAACACCGAUGGCGAAGGCAGUUCUCUGGGCCGUAACUGACGCCGAGGAGCGAAAGCGUGGGGAGCGAACAGG
rnacentral:rRNA from 1 species